rnacentral:rRNA from 1 species
UACGGGGGGGCAAGCGUUGUUCGGAAUUACUGGGCGUAAAGGGCUCGUAGGCGGCCAACUAAGUCGGAUGUUGAAAUCCCCAGGCUUAACCUGGGAACUGCAUCCGAUACUGGGAGGCUUGGGAUUCGGGAGAGGGAUGUGGAAUUCCAGGUGUAGCGGUGAAAUGCGUAGAUAUCUGGAAGGAACACCGGUGGCGAAGGCGGCAUCCUGGACCGGCA